GAUGAACGCUGGCGGCGUGCCUAAUACAUGCAAGUCGAGCGAACAGAUAAGGAGCUUGCUCCUUUGACGUUAGCGGCGGACGGGUGAGUAACACGUGGGUAACCUACCUAUAAGACUGGAAUAACUCCGGGAAACCGGUGCUAAUGCCGGAUAACAUGUUGAACCGCAUGGUUCUACAGUGAAAGGCGGCUUUGCUGUCACUUAUAGAUGGACCCGCGCCGUAUUAGCUAGGUGGUGAGGUAACGGCUCACCAAGGCAACGAUACGUAGCCGACCUGAGAGGGUCAUCGGCCACACAGGAACGGAGACACGGUCAAGACUACGACGGGAGGCAGUAGUAGGGAUUGUACCGCAGUGGGAGAAAGCAUGAAGGAGCACCGCGGCGGGAGUGAUGAAGUUCGGCGGGUCGUAAAACUCUGUUAUUAGGGAAGAACAAAUGCGUAAGUCACUGUGGGCGUCUCGAUGGUAACUGAUCAGACAGCCGCUGAUAACUUC
rnacentral:rRNA from 1 species